ensembl:snRNA U6 U6 spliceosomal RNA
GUGCUUGCUUUGGCAGCACAUACACUAAAAUUGGAAUGAUACAGAAAAGAUUAGUAUGGACCUUGUGCAAGGAUGACAUGCAAAUUCAUGAAGCAGGAUAUGGAAAA